GACGGAGGGUGCAAGCGUUGCUCGGAAUCAUUGGGCGUAAAGGGUGCGUAGGCGGCUUCUUAAGUCUGACGUGAAAGCCCAGGGCUUAGCCUUGGAAGUGCGCUAGAAACUGGGAAGCUAGAGUGCCGGAGGGGAGAGUGGAAUUCCUGGUGUAGCGGUGAAAUGCGUAGAUAUCAGGAGGAACACCUGUGGUGUAGACAGCUUACUGGACCAUCACUGACGCUGAGACACGAAAGCGUGGGUAGCAAACAGG
rnacentral:rRNA from 1 species